GCAGGUAUAGUAUAAGGGCUAUUAUGUCGCGUUGCCAACGCGAAGAUACGGGUUCGAAUCCCGUUACUUGCUCCA
rnacentral:tRNA from 2 species